GGCUCAGUUGUGGAACUCAGAACAGUAGAUGAAAAUGUGAUUGGAGGAAGUUCCAGUGAGGAGGCACUUCACCAGGUGCAUGAUGUCAAGGUGGAUGAAGACCUUCCUGAAAGGGAGGACCUUAUAUUAGAAGAAGCACAAUCUCUCGAUAAUUCAACUUCAGAUGAACCUUUCGUUGGCCUGGAGUUUGAAUCUGAAGCUGCAGCACAUGCAUUUUAUAAUGCAUAUGCAACAAGGGUGGGUUUUAUCAUCCGGGUUAGUAAGCUUUCGCGAUCUAGGCGUGAUGGCUCCGCCAUUGGUCGAGCACUAGU
rnacentral:misc_RNA from 1 species